rnacentral:misc_RNA from 1 species
GAUGAAGAACGCAGCGAAAUGCGAUAACUAAUGUGAAUUGCAGAAUUCAGUGAAUCAUCGAGUUUUUGAACGCACAUUGCGCCCCCUGGUAUUCCGGGGGGCAUGCCUGUCCGAGCGUCAUUGCUGCCCUCAAGCACGGCUUGUGUGUUGGGCUCCGUCCCCCCGGGGACGGGCCCGAAAGGCAGCGGCGGCACCGAGUCCGGUCCUCGAGCGUAUGGGGCUUUGUCACCCGCUCUGUAGGCCCGGCCGGCGCCAGCCGACAACCCAUCAUCCUUUUCAGGUUGACCUCGGAUCAGGUAGGGAUACCCGCUGAACUUAAGCAUAUCAAUAAGCGGAGGA